rnacentral:rRNA from 1 species
AUUGAACGCUGGCGGCAUGCCUUACACAUGCAAGUCGAACGGCAGCACGGGAGCAAUCCUGGUGGCGAGUGGCGAACGGGUGAGUAAUAUAUCGGAACGUGCCCAAUAGUGGGGGAUAGCCCGGCGAAAGCCGGAUUAAUACCGCAUGAGACCUGAGGGUGAAAGCGGGGGAUCGCAAGACCUCGCGCUAUUGGAGCGGCCGAUAUCUGAUUAGCUUGUUGGUGGGUAAAAGCCCACCAAGGCGACGAUCAGUAGCUGGUCUGAGAGGACGAUCAGCCACACUGGGACUGAGACACGGCCCAGACUCCUACGGGAGGCAGCAGUGGGGAAUUUUGGACAAUGGGGGCAACCCUGAUCCAGCAAUGCCGCGUGAGUGAAGAAGGCCUCGGGUUGUAAAGCUCUUUGUCUAGGAGAACAGCAGCUCUAACACAGUCUGCGAAUGACGGUACCUGAAGAAUAAGCAUCGGCUAACUCCG